rnacentral:tRNA from 1 species
GCCCAGGUGGCGAAAUUGGUAGACGCACAGGACUUAAAAUCCUGCGGUGGCGACACCAUGACGGUUCAAGUCCGUCCCCGGGCACCA